ACCAGCAUGGCCUAGUGGUUUGAAUGUUAGACUCAGACUCUGGAGACCAGGGCUCGAUUCCCAGCUCAGCCA